GACGAACGCUGGCGGCGUGCCUAACACAUGCAAGUCGAACGGGGUAAUUUCUUCGGAGAUUACUUAGUGGCGAACGGGUGAGUAACGCGUGAGGAACCUACCUUUCAGUGGGGGACAACAGUUGGAAACGACUGCUAAUACCGCAUAACAUGUACGGACUGCAUGGUCUGUACAUCAAAGCUUAAUGUGCUGAAAGAUGGCCUCGCGUCUGAUUAGCUAGUUGGUGGGGUAACGGCCCACCAAGGCGACGAUCAGUAGCCGGUCUGAGAGGAUGAACGGCCACAUUGGGACUGAGAUACGGCCCAG
rnacentral:rRNA from 1 species